ACACACAUACACACAUUUACAGAGGUGCACAGUUCAAUGUGAGUGUCGGUCUUUCUCAUGGAUUACAGGAAGGGGGAUUAUUGGGUUUGAUUUGGUACAAAGUUUCAGUCUCUGGCCCAUCAGGUGUUUAAAAAGUUAAAUCCCUAAAUGUUUAUUUAAAUAAGAAAAAAAAGAAUUUGGGGGGCGCUUUGGGUUCUUAAAAUGCAGAACAUUAUGUCUCUUAUGAAGAAUGAGACAUUACAGUCAUUACAUCAGAUUGUCCAUCACACUGCUGGACUCUGUUCAUUUUUAUCUCCACCUUGUUAACUUUUUUUGAGUGUGUUUUGUUGGUCAUUUCUUUUUCUGCUGCUAUUAAAUAUCUAAUUCUCAUUACUCAAGGCAUAUUUUAGUUUCCCAUAAAAAAGGAAUGAGAUAAUGAGGCUCUACUGGAUCUUUGUGCAGUGUUUUAUAUCCUUACCAGACCACGUUUUAUUAUUUUUCCUCAAUGGAGAUAGAAAAUAAUAAUUAACUUUCUACUUUGAGUUUAUUAUUAAAUCAUCAGUUCCAAGUGUCAGCCACUAAAAACAUGAAGAAAGAGUAGGAAAAUCGUUAGACUCUAAAGCCAGUGUUUAUGAGGUUAUAAUGCAAUAAAAGAGAAUUUAAGCUUGCAUACUUCCAGCUGGCAGUUUAGUAACUUUAGAUUUUUUUGUGGAGCUGUACAGUGAUAACCUGAGAUUCUAUAAAACACAAGAUAAUGAUCAUUAUUAUAAGAUUUUUAUAAAGCUAGCAUCUGCUAGCCUAUGGUUGAUGUAUUAUGUGUGUAUAGGGGACUCAGGUUCAGCGGGCCUGACUCAAUACUCUAUAAAGAUAUCUGUUUAGAAUAAAACAAGAUAAACGUAUGACCCUCGACGAGGUCCCAUUGUUACUUGAUGACAGUGAUAUACGUCUCCUAUAAGGUGGAGGCAAGCAUCAUUAUCUGAUGUUACUGAUUCUGAUUCAAUAUACACAGACACGCUGUGCAAAGGAGCAUUUGAGUCUUUCACAGUAUCAAUAAUAAGUUAUCUUAAGGACAGAUUAAUGCUGAAGAUCAGGUUAUGUCUUAGUCACUAAUGUUUGAAUAUUGUGUCACCUGACCACCAGAAAGAGCUCCACCUCUUUAACACUGUUGGGACCCUCAGAACUGAACUACACACAGAAAACAAAGAGAAUCCCAGAAUGCACUACGUUAACCCACUUUCAGUUUGUAGCAGGAGGAAUAGUUUUCCAAACCAAACCAAUUGGUUUUGUUUGGAUAUGACUAAAUCAAUACUUUGGUUUGGUCAUAUCCUAUAGUUUCCAAUAUAAGUUUGGAAACCUAUUGGAAAUAAUAGGUUUCCAACAAUUUAAGACUAUUGUUAGACAACAACAUUCAAUAUACAUAUCUGUGCACAUCUAUAUAAUAAGCAGAAACACAAAGGUACAUUCAUUAAAAUAUACUACUCUCAAAUGUAGACUGUGACUUGUAUUCUCAUAAGAGCCAAUACAACAUUGUUCAGCCUGACUUAACUCUCUACUCCCAAGUCAAAAUAUCAGUAAUUCAUGCAGUGCAGGGCUGCAGUAAAGAAGGGAUUUUAAAAGCUGCUAACAGGGGUCAUUAUGAUUUGUUGUCAUUCCUGCUGGUAAAACGGAACAGAAAUGUACUAUUUAACAGAGGAGAAGUGAGGAGUGUGGUCUCUGUAGUCAUAAAAGCGCUGCAAGGGCCUUCACUGAUUUAUGAAAAGUUUGACAUUUUACUUCUCUGGGAGCCCAGAAAGCACAUUAAUUUGGUGGAGAGCUUGCAAAAACACUGAAACCUAUAAACGGUGUGGAAAUUCUCUGUAGAACACGACUACUAAUUAAAUAUUAUGAUAAUGGAUAAAAACAUUUUUGAUGAAGGGACAACAGAGGGUUUGGAUACAAGUACAUACAGUAUUCUCAUGCUGUAAAAUCCCCCACAAAUAAUGGUUUGAAAAUUUGUAAAAAAAAAAAAAAAAAGUUCAUUCCUACACGCCAA